ACUCAUACCUGGCAGGGGAAAUACCAUUAUCAUAAAAGUGGGUUUCCCAAGGUAAGGAUCAUCCAUUGCACUUUGGAUGUGCUGAUCCCUGUGAUUUCCCCAAAUGUGGGAAAAUCAACUGCCUAAUUUGUGGUAGUGGGGGGUUGCAUUUGUGGUUUCUCCUG
rnacentral:snRNA from 1 species